rnacentral:lncRNA from 8 species
CAUUGCAACUCCACGAGGUGAGAUCUUGCAUGGAGCCCCAGGCCGUGGGAUAUUGACAGUUCUUUUGUGUUUCUUCCAUUUGCGAAUAAUCGCACCAAAUGUUGUCACCUUCUCACCAAGCUGCUUGGCGAUGGUCUUGGGAACUGAGCAGCGUGAGAAGCCAUAGCAGGGACGGGGGCUAACUACUUCAGGCAAAUGUAAAACAGUGAGCUCGCGAAAAUUCGGUCUGGUAGUAACCAGGCUAAUGCUUCCUACGCCUCGAGCUAGAUAGAGUCUUACAGUCUGUUUGUCUGUCUGUGUGUGUGUGUCAGGUUAUGGAUGAACUCUGGCGGAUCCUUGAUCGAGGGAACUCCCGCUUCGUACCUGAACUGAAGACCCGUUGGGGGACUUUUUACAACAAGGCACAGUUUUAUGGAGUGUUCAAAAAGGUCAUGAAGCCACCGCUGCUGGACAAAGGUAAUUACUGGCUCUGUUGACAAUGGAGAAUCCCAUGAAAUUAUUAAUGUUUGUUUAAAUAACUGGCUGCAGUUAAUCAAAUGAGACUAUUUUCGUUUUUAACAGUGAAGCACUCAAUCGCCUUGAUGAAGGCUUUACCUGACAUGUUCCCAUCACCUGUGGCUCCACCGAAGAAGUUAGGACAUGCAAGUGAGGCUAUGCUUCACAUCCUUGAGUCUGCAGAAGACCCCAACACAUUUCUUCAGGCGAGACCACUCUUCAGCCCUGUCGUGAUUGCGAAACCAACUGCAUACUGGCCAUUGAAACCAUGCCUGUGGUGACCUUCCCAAAAGAGGACAUCUAUGACAGCGUGACGUAUCUCAUGGCGUGUUAUUACACCUUUCACCUCACAAUUCCCAAGUGCAUUGCGACACUCCUGUCUGUGCUGCAGACAGAAGUCCUCUCGGACGCCAUCCACGACCGGGACAUGACUUCUUCAUAGAUAAAUGCUAUGGCCGAGUGGAAAAAGUUCAUUACUGACUAGGAUUGCACGAUUAAAAAAAACAUCUAUUUCUGGUCCCGAUAACAGAACUGUGUGUAUCGGCCGAUCCAAUAACCUUUAAUAAAUAGGCAGGGUGUUUGUUGUUUAUUAUAAGAAGUUUUAAAGCACUGUUACGUUUAUCUUGCCAUAGGGCUUACAUUUUCACCUUGACCACCAAUGGCCUUUGUUGUUUUUGCAUCCUUUGUUCUGCCCAUAUCAGCCUCUGGAUAUACUGAGUCCUCAAUAAAGAAGUGAAAAGAAAUGAGAUUAAUUCUUACUUUAAGCAGGCCAAUCUCAUUUCUAGUAGUAGUACAAGUACAUUUAUCUUAGUCAGGAUUACUUAUU